UUUGAAGCCAAGUAAUAAUACAAGACCAAAAGAGAAACGGCAUUAGGUGGGGUUCAGAGAUACAAUUCCUCUGUGUCAGAUGGACAAGACAGAUGAAUAAGAGAUGGGUAAAACUACCCUGCAGUGAAACGACAAGCCCAUUGCUACGUAAGAAGUUAUUUACAACAAAAUCUUCUGACUCGCAGCAUGGAACCUUAUCUCCAUAAUCAUCAUAUCUGCGAAUACCUGGUUAACUGCACCAGCUUAAAACAUUCUCCUGCAGAGAUUUGGCUUAGAGGCUGAAGAAAGUGUUCAGCAGAUCUCCCAGGCGUGUAGUUCGUUUCACAGCUACAUUUUCUUUUUACACUUUUCUGAUGGUAUCAAAGGACUUUUAAUGUGGCAAACAUUAACGAUGUCAUACUAUACUGAAGAUGGCAUACUUGGAACGAUGGCCUUUCCUGUCUCAGGCUAACAGAAUAAUAUAGGAAAAGGGACGACAUGGCAAAGUGUUGGAAAACGACUUUCAUUUCUUCAUCUACAUCACCUUUGAGAUGUAACUGUGCAGACAGCCUAUACUUCAGG